UCCCUGCUGGUCUAGCGGCUAAGGAUCCUGUGCUGUCAGUGCCACAGCCCAGGUUCAAUUCCUGGGCAGGGAA